rnacentral:lncRNA from 1 species
UGUAAUAUUAAUCAGGCCAGGAGAGAGGUUGCUGCACCUUUGACACAGUUCAGCCAAGGUACUUUAGGAGAUUAAUCAGCUUCAGCUUUGUUGGUGGAGAGACACCAAGAGAUGACCAUUUCUGUCCAUCCUCCAUCUGUGGCACGAGGGCUAGAUCCUCUUUCCAGAGACAAGAGCAUCACAGGGAGGGAGGCUCCACUGAAGCUCAGCUCAGGCCCCAUCUGUUACCCUGCAGGGUGGGGCCAACUGUCCCCAGAGACGGCUGGAGGCUGUGCACGGAGGGCUUCACGUCAGGACUCAGGAGGAUUGGGAGAGGAAGGGAGGCUUAGGGAAUCAGGGAACAUCCACCGGGAAUGUCCUCCAGAGGACCCAACAGAGACACAGUGCCUCUCUUGUGUGGAACAACAGAGGGAAUUAAGUGAAC